rnacentral:lncRNA from 1 species
GAACCCGGUACCCGCCCGCGCCCUCGCGCGUCGGCCAGGAACCUCGGCCCCAUGCGGGCGGGCCAGCGCGGCCAGGAGGGCCGGGAAGAGGGGUCCCCGGGGCCCCGGAUGCGCUGAACUCCGGGGAGGGGAUGGGCAGGAGAGAGAGCACACUCCUGGAGCCGCGACGUCCAAACCCGGACGCACUUGAACCCGCAGCGAGGCCCGUGGCUCGCGGCCUUCGGAGAGCACCCGCGCCCCGCGCAGACCGGACGCCGGCCUUGCCCGAUCCUCGGCAUCCUUCGGCGGGGCGGCCAGUCCCAGGGCGCUCGCUGAGGGCCACACCCUGGCCCCAGAGUUUAGCACCGCCGCGGGCAGGGCGCUCCGCUCCCGGACCCCGAAUCUGAAAGCGGAGACCAAGGGCUGCCUGCGGCAAAGCUCGACAUACACUUGAUUUUCUUCCGAUUUGGAGAAAAUGUCACGGGCGAGAGCAAAAAAAAAAAAAAAAAAAAAAAAAAAAACCCUAACUAUACGUGAUCAUUUAACACACGGGUGUUAAGUUCAUUCUUGCUGCAAAAGAAGGCCAUUGUACCUCCUGACCCUGAAAGCAAGAUGAAGUCACUGAGACACCAAAGGUUAAUUGCUUGCCCAAAGCCAUGUAGCAACUUGGUUGAAGUUACUUUAGUGUCGAAAGCUCCACAUAUGUGCUUUUCGCAAAAUCAAUAGUCACCCCAUGCAAACGAAGAGAUGAACUGUGUCUCUUUAAAUCUACUGAGGAAGAUAUUCCUUCUGGCCCACAGGAUGCCAAAAUGACUUGAUGAUUUAUUUAUGCAGCACUUGGCAGCCUAUAGUCCAGAUUGUGGCUGAAGCUGAAUUUUAUGAGCCUUCCCCUAGGACACUGGAUUUUGUGGAUGCUCCUUGGACACACUGGAAUGCACCUUGGGCAGCCCGUGGAUCAUUUUCCCCAGUAUGAAGCAUGGGAGGAGCUGGAAAAUGAACUCAUGAGCCAGUUGAGCCAGCACAACAAGCUGGAGCCAGGAUAUGCAGCUGGGAGCGAGUGUCCAGCCAACAGCCCGUGUCUCAGGCCCUGCCAGGGGAUGAAUCAAUUAGCAAGAGAAGCAAUGAUGCAAAUGCUCCGGGGUCACUUGGGAUGCUGUUUGCCUUUUUGAUAGAGAAAGCACACCAUAAAUAACAUCACACCUCAGGAAAUCAUUCCAGGAGGCCCCGAUGCUGGCAGGGCUGCUGCCAGGGACGGAAGGAAUCGUUUGCUCAUUGUGUGUAUUUCCCCCAGCUCAGUCAAUGGGAGAUUUGUAGUAAAAUCAAAGUAUUUAAAAGGAGGACAGUAUGUGGUAACAGAGGCAUGUUUAGCAAUUUUUUUAGUACCAGAACCUGUGAUUUAUGACCCAGAGUUACAGCCAACUUUAUUACAAAAAUGACUUCACCCAUAAUAACCUUAUUCAGGGCCCUCUGAUGAAUGAUGUAGUAUCCAACAGCAUUAUAAUCUAGUAAAUAUUCAAACACAAUUCCCGCCUCCGCCUCAUUUC